AAGUGCUACAACUCUUUUAGAAUUUGCCCAUCAGACUUUACAGUGCUUACCAGAAAGCUCCCC
rnacentral:snRNA from 10 species